GCUAAUAAGAUGAUUUCUUCAUUUUUCAUCGUUGGAUGCGAGCCAGUUUUAUCCCAUGGGGCUCUCAGCUCAUCGGUUUCUCUCUCCCUACUAAUCUAGCCUAAUGGAGGCUAUCGAGAUGGAAGCUGUCAAGAUCGUGCCCAGUGUCAUACUAGAAGCUAGGUUGCAGCUGCACCUUUUGGCGGUGCAACUACCUAUUAGAAUUAGGUUUUUUUGUGCGUAGUGGCCUUUAAAGACUGAAUUGAGGCGAGCUUAUUUAGAUGUUACUUUUGUUAUUUUUAGCUUUACUUCUAUUUGUCUCAAAAAAACCAUAAGAGUGUUAAUAUAUUUCGCUAUUUCCC